rnacentral:lncRNA from 1 species
ACAAUAAAAUAGAUGUUCAUCUUAGAACCUAAUCAAUAGGUGUUUAGUUACUCAUUGUAACCAAAGACAAAUUACAAAAGAAAUAAACAAACUCUAAGAACAAAGGUUAAGGAGAGACUCCUUCAUUGACGCUCCUAGCGCUUGCCUUCCUCUUGAACCGCCAAGUUCUGAAUGAAAAUUUGUGAAUGUGAAAUCUUGUAUUAAUAAGCA